rnacentral:rRNA from 1 species
GAGCGUAACACGUGGAUAACAUGCCUCAAAGUGGGUCAUACCUCCGAGAAAUUGGAGCUAAUAACCCAUGGUCUUUGUGAAAUUAAAGAGCCGCUUUGAGAGUGGUCUGCGGCCUAUCAGCUUGUUGGUGGUGUAAAGGACCACCAAGGCUAUGACGGGUAGCUGGUCUGAGAGGACGACCAGCCUCAGGGGCACUGAGACACGGGCCCCACUCCUACGGGAGGCAGCAGUGAGGAAUCUUCCGCAAUGGGCGCAAGCCUGACGGAGCGACGCUGCGUGCGGGAUGACGGCCUUCGGGUUGUAAACCGCUUUUUGGAAGGACGAUUGACGGUACUUCCAGAAUAAGCAACGGCUAACUACGUGCCAGCAGCCGCGGUAAUACGUAGGUUGCAAGCGUUAUCCGGAAUUACUGGGCGUAAAGCGUUCGCAGGUGGAUGCAUAAGUGGGUCGCUAAAUUUUUGCGCUUAACGUAAAAAAUGUGAUCCAUAC